GAUGAACGCUGGCGGCGUGCCUAACACAUGCAAGUCGAACGGAGUCGUUUUGGAAAUCUCUUCGGAGAUGGAAUUCUCGACUUAGUGGCGGACGGGUGAGUAACGCGUGAGCAAUCUGCCUUUAAGAGGGGGAUAACAGUCGGAAACGGCUGCUAAUACCGCAUAAAGCAUUAAAUUCGCAUGUUUUUGAUGCCAAAGGAGCAAUCCGCUUUUAGAUGAGCUCGCGUCUGAUUGGCUAGUUGGCGGGGUAACGGCCCACCAAGGCGACGAUCAGUAGCCGGACUGAGAGGUUGAACGGCCACAUUGGGACUGAGACACGGCCCAGACUCCUACGGGAGGCAGCAGUGGGGAAUAUUGCGCAAUGGGGGAAACCCUGACGCAGCAACGCCGCGUGAUUGAAGAAGGCCUUCGGGUUGUAAAGAUCUUUAAUCAGGGACGAAACAAAUGACGGUACCUGAAGAAUAAGCUCCGGCUAACUACGUG
rnacentral:rRNA from 1 species